GUGUCAGCAGCCGCGGUAAGACGUAGGGAGCAAGCGUUGUCCGGAUUCAUUGGGCGUAAAGGGUCCGUAGGCGGCUCAGCAAGUCAGGUGUGAAAUCUCCAGGCUCAACCUGGAGGGGCCACCUGAUACUGCUGUGGCUUGAGUCCAGUAGGGGAGCAUGGAAUUCCCGGUGUAGCGGUGAAAUGCGCAGAUAUCGGGAGGAACACCAGUGGCGAAGGCGGUGCUCUGGGCUGGAACUGACGCUGAUGGACGAAAGCGUGGGUAGCAAACAGGAUUAGAUACCCCAGUAGUCC
rnacentral:rRNA from 1 species